rnacentral:lncRNA from 1 species
GUGGGGCUUAAGCGAGUCCGUGAAAACGUGGCGGGCAUAGAAGUGUCUUAGAAAGCUUUACUAGGUCUCCUGCACAGGUGGAGAUGGCAAGACUUGAGAUGCCAUGGGAUCAGGUUCAAGGUCCCCAGGAAGGCGCUAGUGGAAACAGAAACAGAAGCUUGGCUCUCCCAGGGCCUGGUGGAGCCUAAGGGCCUAGCAGCUCCUGAGGCCUCUGCCCGGCCCAGGCUGCCUCCCGUCUCCCAUGGCUCCGGGAAAGCCUUUUUCUUGGCCACUAAGUUUCCUGUGACUCAAGGCAAUAGGAUUUUCCCUGACCAAACCACAAGGGCUCUGGAACCCAUCACAGCUCUACCACGGGCGAAGCAGGCCCUGUGGUGGGGGAGCGCAGCUCAAGCCACGGAGCAGAGAACCGGCCGCCUCUUUAGCGUUGUUUCUUUGCAAAAAUGUGGCCUGAUAUUGGAAGACUGACUUGGGAGCCCAAAGUCGUUAGUAAGCUGGGGAAUGCCUAUCACAUGAGAGUGGAGGGGCAUCAACUUACACGUAAGUAAGUCUCUCAGGGGCUCUGAGAUUCUCAAAUGACUCAGCCACCCAGGUAGGGAGAACAGACACCCCCCCCGAGGCACCCAGGACACCUCGGCCAGAAGUAAGCACUGCCCAUGCUCAGGGGACCUCACUCGCAGUGCUGAACAGUCCGCACAACUGUGCUGCUGGCCCUGGUCUGCACUUUGCUGGCCGCUAAGAUGCUGGCAGCAUUAGAGGAACCGGAAGGAAAACCUUUAAGGUAUCUGAGGUAAGUCCUAAAUUCUCAGCAGUGCAGAGUGGUCAGAACCUGGAUGUUCUGCUGGUGAGGGAGGUGGAACCCCCUCCCCUGGCUCCAUCUUGACCCAGGACCCGCCACCAGGGCAGAAAGACAUUGCUCCAGGGCUUUCACCCAGCAUCUCUAGAAGGCCUGGAGGGACCUGAGAUGACUGCUGAGCAGGCUCUGUUACAGCACACCUGCAGGCGGCGCUCCUCCCACUGCACCUGUGCCAGUGGCACCCCUGGAGUUGGAUGGUACACAGCUGGCGAGGGCGUGGCGAGCCUGUCUAUGAACUCUGCAAAGGUUUAGCAUGAACUUUCCUGGGGAGACAGAUCGACUUCAGCCUCUAUCAAAUAGUCCACAGGGGCCACUAAUGUAAAAAAAAUUCAAGAAACACUGUCUACUGGGGCUUGGAACUGAAACACUGCCAGAAGGGGUGUCCAUCUCGUCCCUUCCCCAACCCAGUCAUCCCCCCGGGUCAGUGACAGGAGGGCCCAGCUCGGUCAGGGCUGAAAUCCCAAUACUCAGUGGAAGAACGAGACAGAAACUCUUGCUGAGGCCGAGGCCUGGGCCAGAGGCAACAAGCUUAGAUUGCACCUUGAGAGGAUUUCUGUUGGUGAGCGCUGUGCUGUCCAGAAGAGAUCUUCUUUGGGAGUCUAGCCCCUGCGGAUCCCGAGCCAGAUUAAAAGCCGGUCUAGAAAGGUUAUAGCCCGAGACAGCCAACCAUCGCUGGAAA